rnacentral:tRNA from 1 species
GGGUCGUUAGCUCAGCUGGUAGAGCAGCGGACUUUUAAUCCGUUGGUCGCAGGUUCGAUUCCUGCACGACCUACCA